GGAGAAUUAGCUCAGCUGGGAGAGCAUCUGCCUUACAAGCAGAGGGUCGGCGGUUCGAAUCCGUCAUUCUCCACCA
rnacentral:tRNA from 8 species